rnacentral:rRNA from 1 species
UGCAUUUGCAACCUGAGCUCACACACGAUUACCCCGCUGAACUUAAGGCAUAUCAUUUAGCGGAGGAAAAGACACUAACUAGGAUUCUCUUUUAACGGCGAGAGAAAAAA